rnacentral:rRNA from 1 species
AUUAGACUACCCCUGUACGUCCCAGCCGUAAACAAUGUGCGUUAGGUGUGUCGGUAACCACGCGUUACUGAUGCGCCGAAGAGAAAUCGUGAAACGCACCACCUGGGAAGUACGGUCGCAAGGCUAGAAACUUAAAGGAAUUGGCGGGGAGCACCACAACGGGUGGAGCCUGCGGUUUAAUUGGACUCAACGCCGGAAAUCUCACCGGAUAGGACAGACAUAUGAUAGUCGGGCUGAAGACUCUACUUGAUGAUCUG